UUAAUUACUGAAAUGUGUAGUUUCGCAAAUUACAAUCUCCUCCAGUAUCAAUACUACUGAGGCCAGCAAAGAUGGCGCUUUAACCGAUGGAAGUUGUACAAAAUGUCCACCAUUGAAAUGGAUCCACUAUUUGUGAAAGCUCUAAGAUUAUUACAUUCAAAAGCCAAAGACUCUGCAGAUCAACUUAAGCAGUUACUAGAUGAUGCUCUUCUACAAAAACCAUCAUCUGUUACCACUUCAAAAGACAUUAAACAGCCAUUUCGACAGGAAGAAAGUUUAAAAGCUCCUGUUGGAAGGAAGAUAUCUCCUAAACAUGCCACCGAGACAGCUAGCCAGAAGGUGCCCAUUACUGAAGAAUCCAGGAAGAGGGAGGGUGAGAAAAGAACCUUUGAGAA